CCCCUAGAUGUUCUGGGCCGCACGCGCGCUACACUGAUGCAUUCAACGAGUCCAACCUUGACCGAGAGGUCCGGGUAAUCUUUGAAACUGCAUCGUGAUGGGGCUAGAUUAUUGCAAUUAUUAAUCUUCAACGAGGAAUGCCUAGUAAGCGUGAUUCAUCAAAUCGCGUUGAUUACGUCCCUGCCCUUUGUACACACCGCCCGUCGCUCCUACCGAUUGAGUGUGUUGGUGAGGAGUUUGGAUUGGCCUCGGAAGGUGGUUCGCCACCGUCCGUAGCUGAGAAGUUCUCCAAACCGCCCCACUUAGAGGAAGGAGAAGUCGUANCA
rnacentral:rRNA from 1 species